rnacentral:misc_RNA from 1 species
GCUCAGCUUUUGUUCUACAGAUUUGUCCUUUUGGACUCUCUAUGAUUGGCAUGGACUGGGGGGCGACCUCAGCAUCUUAAUCAUAGACAGUUUAACAAGUACAAGUAGUGAGAGGAGUAGAGUGAAUCAAGAACGAAGUAUAAGGGAUCAAAAAUGAGAGCCAGACUUGGUACCAGUUGCCAAGUUCUCGACUGAUGGCCUUGGUUGAGAUUCUCAAAGCUACAAGUUGGAAGGAUGGACUGGGGGAGACAAGAGGUCUCUGGCAGGGCGGUUGAGGACUAGACCAGGCCCCUUUGGACAGGAGCAAGGCCUCAGAGGUAGGCGGACGGUGCUGUCAGAGGCUGAGGUCUCGAUGUGAAGUCAGAGUUGAGAGCUGGCAGGCUUGGGUCUGUACCGGUGAGCAUACUAGGAGCUGCAAAGACCAAGUAUGAGUGCUGGUGAGCCCAAGUCUGCCUGCUCUAGUGUGUGUCCUUCCAAGAGCGACAGGCUUAUAGGGGCUGUUC